rnacentral:tRNA from 1 species
GGCUCAAUGGUCUAGAGGUAUGAUUCUCGCUUUGGGUUACGUCAAGCACGCCAGCUCUCCUGCGAGAGGCCCCGGGUUCGAUCCCCGGUUGAGCCC